UACGUAGGUGGCAAGCGUUGUCCGGAUUUGUUGGGUUUAAAGGGUGCGUAGGCGGUUCCAUAAGUCAGUGGUGAAAUACGGCAGCUCAACUGUCGAGGUGCCAUUGAUACUGCGGAACUUGAGUACUGAUGAGGUAGGCGGAAUUGACGGUGUAGCGGUGAAAUGCUUAGAUAUCGUCAAGAACACCGAUAGCGAAGGCAGCUUACCAAGCAGUAACUGACGCUGAGGCACGAAAGUGCGGGGAUCAAACAGG
rnacentral:rRNA from 1 species